rnacentral:rRNA from 1 species
GACGAACGCUGGCGGCGUGCCUAAUACAUGCAAGUCGAACGCAUUUUCUUUCACCGUAGCUUGCUACACCGAAAGAAAAUGAGUGGCGAACGGGUGAGUAACACGUGGGUAACCUGCCCAUCAGCGGGGGAUAACACUUGGAAACAGGUGCUAAUACCGCAUAAUUCCAUUUACCGCAUGGUAGAUGGGUGAAAGGCGCUUUUGCGUCACUGAUGGAUGGACCCGCGGUGCAUUAGCUAGUUGGUGGGGUAACGGCCUACCAAGGCUGCGAUGCAUAGCCGACCUGAGAGGGUGAUCGGCCACACUGGGACUGAGACACGGCCCAGACUCCUACGGGAGGCAGCAGUAGGGAAUCUUCGGCAAUGGACGCAAGUCUGACCGAGCAACGCCGCGUGAGUGAAGAAGGUUGUCGGAUCGUAAAACUCUGUUGUUAGAGAAGAACAAGGAUGAGAGUGGAAAGUUCAUCCCUUGACGGUAUCUAACCAGAAAGCCACGGCUAACUACGUG